rnacentral:rRNA from 1 species
CGUUGAUACUGCUGGACUGGAAUGCGGAUGCCGUGGGAGGAAUGUGUGGUGUAGCGGUGAAAUGCAUAGAUAUCACACAGAACACCGAUUGCGAAGGCAUCUCACGAAUCCGCAAUUGACGCUGAGGCACGAAAGCGUGGGGAUCAAACAGGAUUAGAUACCCUGGUAGUCCACGCUGUAAACGAUGAUGACUAACCGUCGGCGAUACACUGUCGGUGGCCAAGCGAAAGCGAUAAGUCAUCCACCUGGGGAGUACGACCGCAAGGUUGAAACUCAAAGGAAUUGACGGGGGCCCGCACAAGCGGAGGAACAUGUGGUUUAAUUCGAUGAUACGCGAGGAACCUUACCCGGGCUCGAAUGGCAGGGGAAUAAUCCAGAGAUGGAUUAGUCUUCGGACUCCUGUCGAGGUGCUGCAUGGUUGUCGUUAGCUCGUGCUGUGAAGUGUCGGCUUAAGUGCCAUAACGAGCGCAACCCUUGCCAUUAGUUGCCAUCAGGUUAUGCUGGGGACUCUAGUGGGACUGCCACCGCAAGGUGUGAGGAAGGGGGGGAUGACGUCAAAUCAGCACGGCUCUUACGUCCGGGGCGACACACGUGUUACAAUGGUGGGUACAGAGGGAAGCUACCUGGCGACAGGAUGCAGAUCUCGAAAACCCAUCCCAGUUCGGAUUGGAGUCUGCAACCCGGACUCCAUGAAGUUGGAUUCGCUAGUAUCGCGCAUCAGCGAUGGCGCGGUGAAUACGUUCCCGGUCCUUGUACACAC